rnacentral:rRNA from 1 species
AUUAUAUUGCGAGUUUGAUCCUAGCUCAGAAUUAACGCUAGAAAUAUACAUUACACAUGCAAAUUAAUGAUAAUAUCAUAGUGUAUAGGUGAGGAUAUAUAAAUUUUUAAUUUUAAAUAGAUUAUAAAUUUUAUUAAAUAAUAAUCUAUAAGCGCAAAAUAUAUGUACUAUAUUAAAAAUUAAUAUUAUUUAAAAUAAAAUUUAUAUUUGAUUAACUAGUUGGUAAUUUAAAAGACUAC